UACGGGGGGAGCAAGCGUUGUUCGGAUUUACUGGGCGUAAAGGGCUCGUAGGCGGCCAACUAAGUCAGACGUGAAAUCCCUAGGCUCAACCUAGGAACUGCGUCUGAUACUGGAUGGCUUGAAUCCGGGAGAGGGAUGCAGAAUUCCAGGUGUAGCGGUGAAAUGCGUAGAUAUCUGGAGGAAUACCAGUGGCGAAGGCGGCAUCCUGGACCGGCAUUGACGCUGAGGAGCGAAAGCUAGGGGAGCAAACGGG
rnacentral:rRNA from 1 species